GAAAUGCGAUAAGUAGUGUGUAUUGCAGAAUUCAGUGAAUCAUCGAAUCUUUGAACGCACAUUGCGCCCCUUGGUAUUCCAUGGGGCAUGCCUGUUCGAGCGUCAUUUGUACCCUCAAGCUCUGCUUGGUGUUGGGUGUUUGUCCCGUCUCCGCGCGUGGACUCGCCCCAAAGUGAUUGGCAGCCGGCGUACUGGUCCCGGAGCGCAGCACAUGUCGCGCAAACGAGUGCCUUGGUACGGCGGCGUCCAUAAGCCCCUCUCUCACGCUCUUGACCUCGGAUCAGGUAGGGAUACCCGCUGAACUUAAGC
rnacentral:misc_RNA from 1 species